AUACGUAGGUGGCGAGCGUUACCCGGAUUUACUGGGUGUAAAGGGCGUGUAGGCGGGUUUGCAAGUCGGGUGUGAAAGAUUCGGGCUUAACCCGGAGAGGUCAUCCGAAACUGCAGAUCUUGAGGGCUGGAGAGGAUAGUGGAAUUCCUGGGGUGGCGGGAAAAUGCGUAGAGAUCAGGAGGAACACCAGUGGCGAAGGCGGCUAUCUGGACAGUAACUGACGCUGAGGCUCGAAAGCGUGGGGAGCAAACAGGAUUAGAUACCCUGGUAGUCCACGCUGUAAACGAUGAUUACUAGGUGUGGGGGGACUGACCCCUUCCGUGCCGCGGUUAACACAAUAAGUAAUCCACCUGGGGAGUACGGCCGCAAGGUUGAAACUCAAAUGAAUUGACGGG
rnacentral:rRNA from 1 species